rnacentral:rRNA from 1 species
UAAUACGUAGGGCGCAAGCGUUGUCCGGAAUUAUUGGGCGUAAAGAGCUCGUAGGCGGUUUGCCGCGUCUGCCGUGAAAGCCCGGGGCUCAACCCCGGGUCUGCGGUGGGUACGGGCAGACUGGAGUGCAGUAGGGGAGACCGGAAUUCCUGGUGUAGCGGUGAAAUGCGCAGAUAUCAGGAGGAACACCGAUGGCGAAGGCAGGUCUCUGGGCUGUAACUGACGCUGAGGAGCGAAAGCAUGGGGAGCGAACAGGAUUAGAUACCCUGGUAGUCCAUGCCGUAAACGUUGGGCACUAGGUGUGGGGGACAUUCCACGUCUUCCGCGCCGCAGCUAACGCAUUAAGUGCCCCGCCUGGGGAGUACGGCCGCAAGGCUA